ensembl:lncRNA
AUAAAUUGGAGAUAAAUGGUGUUAAUAGUCCAAUAAGAUAAAUGCUUGUCUUUUAAAGCUGAAUUCCAGAAGAAAUUGCAACAUAGGAACUGACACAUUUUUCUUCUAUGCCAGAAGAACACACUAUCUGGUAUAUGAUUGAAGACUGGUGUAUGAUAGCCUGAACAAUAUUGAGAUGACACUAUUUAAUUCCUAAAGCCUGGGACUGCCAGAACAAAAAUAAUCUACAUCCAGCAGGCAGCCUCUCAGAACUGGCUGGUUCUACCAGAGAUCACGAAAUUCAAGUCACUCCCCUCAGGCAAUGCUCCUUGAUACACAGGAUCAUGACUUGCUCCCUUCCAAUGGCGACAGGUCCCAACAGGUCACCAAGCAGCCAAGGGAGCUGGUCUAAGCCUGAGGCUGCUGGCAGUCAUCUUGUGGAAUCCAAAUGGAAUCAAUGGGAACAUCAGAGGUGAGGGUGGGGCAGAAGGUCAGGGACAGGACCCCAAUCAAGGGCUCCUUCCUAGGCUUCCCUCCAGCUUUGCUCCUUCCUUAUAAAGCCAAGUGGGAACGGACCACGCAGCAUCUGGACCUACGACAGCCCACUCC